UCAUAGAACAGUUCUAAUUGUUAGGAUAUUUCUCAUUGACACAAACAGUCUAAAUUUUAUUCUUUGCAACUUUUGACUUUUAGGAUGAAAUAGAACCUGCCUUAUCUCUCUUUCCCAAAAGAACUCUUCACUUUAAGACAGCUAUCAUGUUCUUUCUAAGAUUUUUCUUUGUUAAACCAAACAUUCUUUGUUCUUUCAGCUGAACUCCUUAUGGCAUGGACUUGAGGGCCAUUAUCAUUCUCUUUGCUCUUCUAUGGAUGCUCUCCAGUUUGCCUUUAAAUGAGACUGCUGCCACACUCUCUGAUACUGCUAAAAGGAACUUCAGAAAUGGAAAACCUUUCUGGACAUCUUUGAAAAACUUCCACAGAACAUGGUGCAGCCCAGACUCAUGGACUCUUGGAAAGCUCCUUUUCCAUCUCUGCUGCUGCUUGACCUUAUCACUCACUGCCAGUACUCAGCUCUUUCCAAAGCUACAAAGACUUUAAAUGGGGAGGUGCUAUCCACAAAAGAAACUCAAAUAGAAGAUGAGAGCUGGAGGUUAGGCUCCAAAAAUUAAACUUAAAAGCAAUGUAAUUGGAGUUUUAUGCUCAUUGGAUCAAAUUGGGGUGGAUACCAUUUAUAUUUGAGAAACUGAAACUCAUUUUCAUAUCCAGAAUGUUUGCAUAAUCUUAGGCCACAUUUGCCUGCUUGGCAUGGUCAAUCUCCUUCCCUGUAUCCUAAUCAUCUCUCUUGCUUCUGUCUUCUUGCUACCUUCUUCUUAAUGAAAACCAUCUCUUCAUUUCUCUUAUGCCCCUCUGCUUGGUUCUUGCUUCUCACUAUUUAAACCAUUAUUGCAACUGCUCAUUGUCUAUGGGAGUGGGGCGGGAAAUGGGAGGGAAAGAACAUGAAUUAUGUAACCAUGGAAAAAUAUUCUAAAUCAAUUAAUGAAAUAAAAAUUUUCAAAUAAAAAAUGUCA
rnacentral:lncRNA from 1 species